UUCCGAUUAGUCUAGUGGUUAGGAUAUCGGCUUGUCAUCUUAUCAAAAAGAAACAUUCGCCGGGGACCGGGGUUCAAUUCCCCGAUCGGAAG
rfam:Verticillium dahliae VdLs.17 supercont1.25 genomic scaffold, whole genome shotgun sequence.